rnacentral:piRNA from 1 species
UCCUCUAAUGAUGAGAGGUUAAGCGUGCU